GCCGGGGUGGCGGAAUUGGUAGACGCGCUGGCUUCAGGUGCCAGUAGGGGAGACCCUGUGGAGGUUCAAGUCCUCUCCUCGGCACCA
rnacentral:tRNA from 1 species